rnacentral:lncRNA from 1 species
GGUCUGAUUAGAUAUUCAAAGGCACGGGUAAUAACAUUUUUCCCUAUUUUGGACCAAAAUAUCCUGUCUGUCAUCUUCAUCUUCGUCGUUUUCACUUUCACACUUUAGACAAUUUCUUCAUAAACAUUUUUCCCAAUGUAAGCGUUAUAGAAAUUGGAUCCUUAUCGACGACAAAUCAAGCUUCAUUCACCAUCUUCAUCUUCCUUCCGUUGAACCUCCUUAUUUACGGUAAGUGAUGGCCUUUGAUUCCUAUUUUUUUCCUCUGAUUUUUUUAGUUAAAGUUCUUUUUCGGUCUCACUUUGAUCCUUCUCAGUUUCUUCAUUAGAUCCUCAUAAUUUUUGUGUUCUUUUUUCUGGGUUUCUAGAGUUUGAUUUGGUAGCUGAAUUGUUUUGGGUUUUAAUGAAUCAAAAGCUUCAACAAAUUAUUUUAAAGUGUUAUUAGUUUGUUUGUGUGAAUUUUGUAAAUGUUUCAUGCUUAAUUUUUGUUUCUUAAUUUUUAUUUCAUGCUUUAAGUGGCUGUGCUAUGGUGUUACCCCUUUCCAGCUGCUGUUGUAUCUACUACUUUGAAGCUCGCUAGUCGCCACCGUCAUCUCCAACUGUCGCUGUCAGCGUCGAGUUCAGGUGAGGCUAUACUACCAUUUUUUUACAAACUUUUUGUUUGUUUGUUUGCGUAGCUUGGGUUGUAAAAUGUUAACAAAGUUAAGCUGUUUGUUCUGCUCUUUCUUUCAUUCUUCUUGUUUUUCUUCCUUCACGCCACUCUCCCACCACUGUUAGCUUCUUAUUGAGGUCAUAUUCCAUCGAUUACCCUAACCAAUCAAGAUCCCAUGGCUACACCAUUGCCAAUUCCACCUAAACUCCCUUGCAGCUCAAAACUCUCUCCUUUACUGCUUCGCUUGCCAUGUUUACUUCUUUUCUCAUUUUCCUCUUAUUUUUCCUACCUCCGGCUUUUCCUUUAAAUUUGUGCUUCCUACUAAGCUUUUUUUUCUAAUCUCUCAUAGAAGGGUUAAGCAUUACAUUUGCUCAAUCUAUCCUGAGUAUCUAUGGAUACUACUUGCGUCUGUUUGAAUGCAAAAGCAAAAUGGAAUUCGAUUUCAUUUUGUUACGUUUGAAGUAAGAAAUGUUAACUUUGUUCAUUUUCUGAUUUUUUUGCUUUUUUAUGUAUUGUUUAAUUAUUUUGGAGUUGCACUCACUGUAAAUAAGUGCAAAAGUCUAUAAUAGAAAUUUGAUAAAUAUGUAUUGUUCACUUUUCACAAUCUUCUUAACUGCUUAUAUGCUUUAGUGACCUACAAUAAAAGAAAAUUAACUAAAAUAAUUGUUCCCCUCUAAAACUACAAGUAGAGCUUCGUGAUGUUGGCAAUGGAAACAAAGUAAGUUUACGCUUCGGCCCUGAGGAGCUUGUUGAAAGUAUGCAUCUUAACUUGUUGAAUUCUUUACCCAGUUUGCUUAAGUUAAAGUAUUUGUGGGCUAUGGUUAUGGUAUUGCAUUGAGCUUGAACAUUAGAUAUGGCUUAAGAUUCUGCUACGAGAUCAAUGAGUUAUAUUCCUUUUACAUUGUUUUGCAGGCCUAAGACAUUUGACCAACUGCAAGUACUAUUGGACUUAUCGGCAAGUCUGCUGCUUACCUAAAAGGUUGAAAAAAUUAAGACUGGACUUGUUGUGCACUUGGUUUGCUAGAAGUAAUUUUAAUUCUCCUUUUAUAACUUUUACCUCUGUUUUCUGUUAUGGAGUUGACACUUCCAUUACUACAGCCACUAAUUAUCCUUGCACUCAUCUUCAUCAUCAUUAAGAUAUUGCUAUGCCAUUAAAACUUGGAUGUGAUCUAUGGUUAUGGUAUUGCAUUGAGCUUGAACAUCAGAUAUGACUUAUGGUAUUGCAGUUUUUGUUGGAAUAGUUUUUCUAAAGUGCGAUUGAAUAUUAAUCCCCAAUACAAAGUAAAAGUGUUUGUUUGGCCCUGUUAUAGUGUUCAUUUUGCCUUUGGUUUUUUACCAAGUUUAUUUUUAUUUGAAUUUUUUAGUUGGAACCAUUAUGUGUUAAAUGUGUAGUGGUAUAUUAUUUCCAACACUGGUUUAUUAUUUCCUUUUUAAUUAAUUUAAUACAAUACAAAAAUGUUAAUUGCCUCUAAAUCCCUGCCCCUUACCAACAAAUAAACAAUAUUUACUUUUUAAUAAUGCAUAUUAUCACCUAUUUUUAUAAAAAAAAACUGUAAUAUUUUAUAUAAUCACAUUAUGCAAUAUCAUAAUACCAC